rnacentral:rRNA from 1 species
UACGUAGGCAGCAAGCGUUGUUCGGAGUUACUGGGCGUAAAGGGUGCGUAGCCGGUCCUAUAAGUAUGGUGUGAAAUCUCCCGGCUUAACUGGGAGGGUGCGCUAUAGACUGUGGGACUAGAGUGUGGGAGAGGAAAGUGGAAUUCCUGGUGUAGCGGUGAAAUGCGUAGAUAUCAGGAGGAACACCGGCGGUGUAAACGGCUUUCUGGACCAUAACUGACGCUGAGGCACGAAAGCGUGGGUAGCAAACAGG